GUUUUGGUGGUUCAGUGAUAGAAUUCUCACCUUCCAUGUGAGAGACCUGGGUUCGAUUCCUGGCCAAUGCA
rnacentral:tRNA from 1 species